rnacentral:rRNA from 1 species
AAUCAACGCUGGCGGCGUGCCUCAGACAUGCAAGUCGAACGAUUAAACUUUCCUUCGGGAAAGAUAUAAAGUGGCGCACGGGUGAGUAACACGUAGGUAAUGUACCUUUGGGUGGGGAAGUAACCAUCGGAACGAUGGCUAAUACCGCAUAAUAGCAGCGGCAUCGCAAGAUGACAGUUGUUAAAGAUUUAUCGCCUAAAGAGCAGCCUGCGGCAGAUUAGGUUAGNGGUAAGGUAAUGGCUUACCAAGCCUGCGAUCUGUAACCGACCUGAGAGGGUGGUCGGUCACACUGACACUGAAUAACGGGUCAGACUCCUACGGGAGGCAGCAGUCGGGAAUUUUGGGCAAUGGGCGAAAGCCUGACCCAGCAACGCCGCGUGAAGGACGAAGUC